AGCAUAACAUUAUACUGCUUAUAACAAUAACGCGCUUAAUAUACAAUAUUCACGUUUUACACCGAAAAAUCUAAAAAAGCAUCCUAAUAAAUGAAGCAUAUUACAACCAGUAAGAAAAAUAGUUUGUUGCCCUUUUUAUACUUUUAGCCAUUAUUUCUUAAUUAUCCAAAUGUAGUAUUUUUACCUAAAUCGUUUUUUUUAAUGGAAAUAUUACUUUAAUUAUGUCCAAGAGUAGUUAUUUAAACGCUGGCCAGCCACGUUUGCUUUACAUUUAGCAGUAGUAAAAGACAUUCGUUUACUUCUAAUUUUAAAAGCGACAUAAUAACCAAAGGCCUGGAUGACGUCAUCACAGACAGUGGUCCUACACGGUCGGGUAUACCCGGCAAUUAAAAUGCAGACUCCAUCCCCAUACAUCUGCUUCGUCUUUGCCAAAUGAAUUGCCAGGAAAGGAAAAUAAAAAAGAGACUGCAUUGAGAUCACAGAUGGAGUGCAGGUUUUUGCAAGAAAUUUGAGAAACACCAUUGUCCCAAAUCAAAACUCAAUGUGUUGCCCUACAAUGGGGUCCGCUUUGAGCCCCUCCGCUUCAAUCGGACUUGUUUUUUAAACUUGAAGUGUUCAGCACAAAGACUUGCCUCCUAAAUGUCACAACCGCUCCAGUUCCAAGUGUGGCUGCUUGGAAAGGGUGUAAAAAAAACGAAAAGGAAAAGAACACAAUUAUGAAGCAAUAAUUACUCUACUUCAGUUCGCACGCCAUUGCUCCCAUAGAAACAUCUUAGCCCCUAUUUAAUUCUUUAUUCCAGAGGAUGAUAAUCCGAAUACCAUAGGUUCCAGUAUUUUUAAGGGGGCUGGAAUGGGGAGGAGGUGUUGUAAAUAAAUGAAUAUUCAUUAUGA